GUGCUCAUUUUAGUAACACAUACAUUAAAAUUAGAAUGAUACCAAGAUCAGCAAGGCCCAUGCUCAAGGAGGACACACAAAUUUGUGAAAUGUCCCAAAGGAAG